rnacentral:lncRNA from 1 species
UACGCUGAUACGGUUCCUUUUAUGGGUAAACAACGAAGUGACUCACACAUUGUCGAAAAUUCGUGAACAGCCGUAUGCAAUAUUCUUUAACGCAAAAAAUUGCAAGAUAUUUCUCGAACGAAUCUGCAGCGCGUGGAAGAUAGGAAGGCAGUUCUUGGAACUUGGCCAAGAAGUUUCGCACGCCUAAUGUAUGAGAGAGAGAGCUGUGAGAGUGAACUAAUCGCUAGAGUUAUACAUGGAACUGUGAUGGGCUUAGUAGAUAUCGUUCACCGAGAGCGUUACGGGGAUGUUUUACUUUGCUUACGGUGUCAGUUUCACGAUUUCGAGACCUACGCACCAGUGCAGUAGGACAGAGUGAGAAGGAUAUACCCUGCAAACGUAACCGACAAGUGUCAACCACUUUAUGAUUUGGUGUCAGUUUAAUCGUGAUCCUAAAACUUAUGAAGAAGCUAUACGAAGAGUGGGGUGUUCCGUCCGUCUGAUGAAUUCGUUAGCAGUCGAGCUUGCAAACUGUUAAGAAAUUGCAACGCAAAAAACCAUGGAAUACGUAAAUAUUCUUCAACAUGUGCGGGUACUUAUAGAGUGGAUCGUCGAAGUACCUUCCGAUUUUCUCGUACAAUCGGUCUGGCUGGCAUUGAGCGUGCAUAUGGCGAACGGUGACCGUAAGGAUGAUAAUAACCCGCGAAAUGAUGUGAUCGUUUAUCAGGCAGGUGUGGCGGCCUGCCUGGUACGUGAUGAAGAGGGAGAUUUUCUGUUUCAAAAAAUAGAGCUGUAAACAGCAUCCAAUGUAGUAGCAUGUUAAUGUACACCAAAUAAAAAAUUAAAGCUUUG